rnacentral:rRNA from 1 species
GAUGAACGCUGGCGGCGUGCCUAAUACAUGCAAGUCGAGCGAACGGACGAGAAGCUUGCUUCUCUGAUGUUAGCGGCGGACGGGUGAGUAACACGUGGAUAAACUACCUAUAAGACUGGGAUAACUUCGGGAAACCGGAGCUAAUACCGGAUAAUAUUUUGAACCGCAUGGUUCAAAAGUGAAAGGCGGUCUUGCUGUCACUUAUAGAUGGAUCCGCGCUGCAUUAGCUAGUUGGUAAGGUAACGGCUUACCAAGGCAACGAUGCAUAGCCGACCUGAGAGAGUGAUCGGCCACACUGGAACUGAGACACGGUCCAGACUCCUACGGGAGGCAGCAGUAGGGAAUCUUCCGCAAUGGGCGAAAGCCUGACGGAGCAACGCCGCGUGAGUGAUGAAGGUCUUCGGAUCGUAAAACUCUGUUAUUAGGGAAGAACAUAUGUGUAAGUAACUGUGCACAUCUUGACGGUACCUAAUCAGAAAGCCACGGCUAACUACGUG